rnacentral:rRNA from 1 species
CAGUAGCCGCGGUAAUACGAAGGGUGCAAGCGUUAAUCGGAAUUACUGGGCGUAAAGCGUGCGUAGGCGGUGAGUUAAGUCUGCUGUGAAAUCCCCGGGCUCAACCUGGGAAUGGCAGUGGAUACUGGCUCGCUAGAGUGUGUCAGAGGAUGGUGGAAUUCCCGGUGUAGCGGUGAAAUGCGUAGAGAUCGGGAGGAACAUCAGUGGCGAAGGCGGCCAUCUGGGACAACACUGACGCUGAGGCACGAAAGCGUGGGGAGCAAACAGGAUUAGAUACCCCGGUAGUCCCUGUCUCUUAUAU